GAUGAACGCUGGCGGCGUGCCUAAUACAUGCAAGUCGAGCGAACAGACGAGGAGCUUGCUCCUCUGACGUUAGCGGCGGACGGGUGAGUAACACGUGGAUAACCUACCUAUAAGACUGGGAUAACUUCGGGAAACCGGAGCUAAUACCGGAUAACAUGUUGAACCGCAUGGUUCAACAGUGAAAGACGGUUUUGCUGUCACUUAUAGAUGGAUCCGCGUCGCAUUAGCUAGUUGGUAAGGUAACGGCUUACCAAGGCAACGAUGCGUAGCCGACCUGAGAGGGUGAUAGGCCACACUGGAACUGAGACACGGUCCAGACUCCUAAGGGAGGCAGCAGUAGGGAAUCUUACGCAAUGGGCGAAAGCAUGACGCAGCAACGCCGCGUGAGUGACGAAGGUCUUCGGAGCGUAAAAAUCUGUUAUUAGGGAAGAACAAAUGUGUAAGUAACUAUGCACGUAUUGACGGUACCUAAUCAGAAAGCCACGGCUAACUACGUG
rnacentral:rRNA from 1 species